CCUACGGGUGGCAGCAGUGGGGUAUAUUGGACAAUGGGCGAAAGCCUGAUCCAGCCAUGCCGCGUGUGUGAAGAAGGCCUUCGGGUUGUAAAGCACUUUCAGUGGGGAAGAAAGCCUUGGGGCUAAUACCCUCGAGGAAGGACAUCACCCACAGAAGAAGCACCGGCUAACUCCGUGCCAGCAGCCGCGGUAAUACGGAGGGUGCGAGCGUUAAUCGGAAUUACUGGGCGUAAAGCGCGCGUAGGCGGUCUGAUAAGCCGGUUGUGAAAGCCCCGGGCUCAACCUGGGAACGGCAUCCGGAACUGUCAGGCUAGAGUGCAGGAGAGGAAGGUAGAAUUCCCGGUGUAGCGGUGAAAUGCGUAGAGAUCGGGAGGAAUACCAGUGGCGAAGGCGGCCUUCUGGACUGACACUGACGCUGAGGUGCGAAAGCGUGGGUAGCAAACAGGAUUAGAUACCCUAGUAGUC
rnacentral:rRNA from 1 species